rnacentral:rRNA from 1 species
UCUUUUCCUUUUGUGCCCGCCGCCGCGGUAAUACGGAAGGUCCGGGCGUUAUCCGGAUUUAUUGGGUUUAAAGGGAGCGUAGGCCGGAGAUUAAGCGUGUUGUGAAAUGUAGACGCUCAACGUCUGCACUGCAGCGCGAACUGGUUUCCUUGAGUACGCACAAAGUGGGCGGAAUUCGUGGUGUAGCGGUGAAAUGCUUAGAUAUCACGAAGAACUCCGAUUGCGAAGGCAGCUCACUGGAGCGCAACUGACGCUGAAGCUCGAAAGUGCGGGUAUCGAACAGG